rnacentral:misc_RNA from 1 species
CCUGCCAUAAGCUCCCAAGCAUUGAUCGUUUCAGGCUCUCCCGGCGGCGUUCUUACCGGUGUUUUAGGGACAAUUUUGGGAAUUUUUUCUUGGAUCAUGUUAGACCAUGACUUGGCUUCAAUUAAACCCACCGAAAAUUCUUUGGUCUUCAAUUCCUCAUCAUCUGAAAUCCCAUUUUGCCCAUCACACACACUCAAAUUCUCCUGAUCAUUGCCUCUCGCUGCCCAAAUAUCAAUAGCAUCGUUGACGUUGUCCUUGUAAUUGGAAGGU